GCCGAGGAGAACUUCUAAAUAUGAGAAUUGUGUUACUCAAUGUGACUACAGAGGCAAAUUUAACCCUGAUAAGUGUGUCACUGGCUGUGGACAACCUACACAGAGAUGGUAUCAUGUGCCACGAUCUUGGUUCAAGCCAUCAGGAAAUGUCUUAAUUAUCUUUGAGGAAAUAGGUGGAGAUCCCUCUCAAAUUAGAUUCUCAAUGCGAAAGGUUUCUGGAGCUUGUGGUCAUCUUUCAGUGGACCAUCCAUCCUUUGAUGUUGAAAAUCUGCAAGGAAGUGAAAUUGAGAACGACAAAAACAGGCCAACUCUAAGUUUGAAAUGCCCCACAAAUACUAAUAUUUCCUCUGUCAAAUUUGCCAGCUUUGGAAAUCCUAAUGGUACAUGUGGCUCCU
rnacentral:misc_RNA from 1 species